rnacentral:lncRNA from 1 species
UAGCUAGCUUUGAACUUUUAGUUUGCAUGCAUGCUCUACCUCUACACACACCACUUUUAGAUUGAAUCUGGUCUCCUAGCUAGCCAGGACCUAACAUGCACCUACUCGCGCACAUAUAUACGGCAGGUGCGGAUGAGAUUAGAGACAUGUGCCAAAUCUUCGUGUGGUUGUCAAGGAUCGGCGAUCGAUAAGGGAUUGUGUGGUUGUCAAGAUUCACCACCUGAAUUUUCACAAAAUAAGUCAUGUUACACUACUAAGUUAGCUGCUAGCUAGCUAGCUGUCCCACUUUCUUGCAGUCCGUAAUGCAUGUAGACGUGUAGCUACGCCCGACGGUCGAUAUGGGUGCAAGGAUCAAAUCGGGAGGUUAUCUGGCCGGCCUACUUAAGCUGGAAUCAUCCGCUAAUGCUUAAAAAGGUGACUAUUUUCCAUACUAAUUCAAAAGGGAAAUGUAUAUUUUACGUUUGUUUCCAAGACAAAAUUAAUGGCACGAAGUCAUCUCAUG